AACGAACGCUGGCGGCAUGCCUAACACAUGCAAGUCGAACGAGACCUUCGGGUCUAGUGGCGCACGGGUGCGUAACGCGUGGGAAUCUACCCUUGGGUUCGGGUAAGUAAACAAGUGGGAAACGUAACUGCUAAUACCGGACAAUGACGUAAGUCCAAGAAUUUAUUCGCCCAACGGAUGAGCCCGCCGUAGGAUUAGCUAGUUGGUGAGGUAAAAGACUCACCAAGGCGACGAUCCUUAGCUGGUCUGAGAGGAUGAUCAGCCACACUGGGACUGAGACACGGCCC
rnacentral:rRNA from 1 species